rnacentral:rRNA from 1 species
UACGGAGGGUGCAAGCGUUACUCGGAAUCACUGGGCGUAAAGAGCGCGUAGGCGGCCUGCCAAGUCUGAUGUGAAAUACCGGGGCUCAACCCCGGGGCUGCAUUGGAAACUGGCAGGCUGGAGUGCCGGAGAGGCAGGCGGAAUUCCUAGUGUAGCGGUGAAAUGCGUAGAUAUUAGGAGGAACACCAGUGGCGAAGGCGGCCUGCUGGACGGUGACCGACGCUGAGGCUCGAAAGCGUGGGGAGCAAACAGG